AGAACGAACGCUGGCGGCAUGCCUAAUACAUGCAAGUCGAACGAACUCUUCGGAGUUAGUGGCGCACGGGUGCGUAACGCGUGGGAAUCUGCCCUUGGGUUCGGAAUAACAGUUGGAGACGACUGCUAAUACCGGAUGAUAUCGAAAGAUCAAAGAUUUAUCGCCCAGGGAUGAGCCCGCGUAGGAUUAGCUAGUUGGUGAGGUAAAGGCUCACCAAGGCGACGAUCCUUAGCUGGUCUGAGAGGAUGAUCAGCCACACUGGGACUGAGACACGGCCCAGACUCCUACGGGAGGCAGCAGUAGGGAAUAUGGACAAUGGGCGCAAGCCUGAUCCAGCAAUGCCGCGUGAGUGAUGAAGGCCUUAGGGUGUAAAGCUCUUUACCCGAGAUGAUAACGACAGUAUCGGAGAAGUAAGCCCCCGAUAACUCCGUGCCAGCCAGCCGC
rnacentral:rRNA from 1 species